CUCAUGGCUUGCUUUUUAUUUCAUUAAUACUUCAUUGUCUCUGAAAAUGAACCUUUUGUGAAGCUCUUCUCCUAACUCUCCUUAUUCCUCUUUCACGAGGUGGCUGCUGUGCAAGGGAAGGAAUGGCAUGAAGUAAAUUACUCCAGUAUAAAGCAAUCUGCUUUGCCCAAGCGCCCAGUGGGCAGCACUGUCACUUUAAUAAUUCCAGGUCAAGGGAUUGCUUUCCUCGUUUUCAAUCCUCUCUUUUAAUACAUGGGAGGAUCAGAGGGACAUUAAAGUCCGUAAGGCUGGGUGGCUUGCAGAUAAUAAAAAUGAAAGUGUCUGCCCAGUGACUUCCGUUGGGUAAGAGGGUGAUACUUGAAGGCUCUUGUCUGGUGAGGAAAAAGGGAUCUUUUCAGUCUGCUGUGUAGUCACCUAAUACAUAGCUAGCAAAAUUAAUUCAAGAAGUGAAAGAGCUUAAAGAGGCGCUUUGGAUUGUUUUUGUCUUCCUCCUUAUUUGGAUUACGUGGGCGUUUUUGUCCUGCAAAUAAUAUGUUUUGGAGCAUGUACAGGUGGAGUAUUGAGACAGCUGCCUAGAGAUGGACUGUGCCUUAAUUGUAUUGCAUAAAAUCUUUUAAUUUUCAAACUUUGCUGCCAGAAGAGGAGUUAUAAUAAGGUUUUAUAUUGCCAAGGAACGUUUGCUCUUGUAUUUUUAUAGAGUCAAAUAUAUUUUAAAGAAAUUGAAAGCAUCUCUUUAAAAAGAAUCAAAAAGCUUUUCUUUCCCUCCCUUUUUUUUUCUUAUUUGUGGAGAACGUCACAAUUCCAAUCCAAGGGAACAGCAAGUAUUCAUAGAAAUGAAGAUUGAAGCUGCAUUUCCUUACUGAACUGUAAAAGAGUUCUGCAAUAGAUAGUCAGUUCCUGACCUUGCAGAGUGUUCCAGUAGUACUUCGUUAGUACCUGUAAAUAAGUGCUUGCAACCAGAUUCAGAAGUAGGAAGAAGAAUGCCAGUCAAGAAGAAAGAUACUGACCGAGCCUUAGUACUGCUGGAAGAAUAUUGCAAAAAACUGCGGAAGCCAGAAGAGCAACAACUGAAAAAAGCCAUCAGAAAGGUGAUGGGCAUCUUUAAGAGCAGCUUGUUUCAGGCACUUCUAGAUAUCUUCAAAAAGAAAGCAACGAGACAUGGAACUACCUCCCACACUUCACUGCCAGUGGCUCUUGCAUGUGAUGUCCUUGGAUGCCCAAAAGAUUAGCCAGUCUCUUCCAUCUGGCCCAUGUCACAAGGAUCAAUGACAUUUCUCCAUCUACAGACUUAAG
ensembl:lncRNA